GGAGUUAGCCGGUGCUUCUUCUGUGAGUGAUGUCCUUCCUGCCGGCUAUUAACCCGCAGGCCUUCUUCCUCACUGAAAGUGCUUUACAACCCGAAGGCCUUCUUCACACACGCGGCAUGGCUGGAUCAGGGUUGCCCCCAUUGUCCAAUAUUCCCCACUGCUGCCUCCCGUAGGAGUCUGGGCCGUGUCUCAGUCCCAGUGUGGCUGAUCAUCCUCUCAGACCAGCUACGGAUCGUCGCCUUGGUGAGCCGUUACCUCACCAACCAGCUAAUCCGACAUAGGCUCAUCCGAUAGCGCGAGGCCCGAAGGUCCCCCGCUUUCCCCCGUAGGGCGUAUGCGGUAUUAGCCUGGGUUUCCCCAGGUUAUCCCCCACUACCGGGCAGAUUCCUAUGCAUUACUCACCCGUCCGCCGCUCGCCACCAGGGAGCAAGCUCCCCGUGCUGCCGCUCGACUUGCAUGUGUUAGGCCUGCCGCCAGCGUUCAAUCUGAGCCAGAAUCGAACCCUGA
rnacentral:rRNA from 1 species